rnacentral:lncRNA from 1 species
GAGGAGCAAUUGCAGAGUGGGAUGCAUGAAGAGAUAAACUUUCAGAAGAAGGCUCAUUUGCUGAGCCAGACAGCAGACAAGGCAGAUUCAUCUCCCAAUUCCUUCAAAAAUAUCAGCAAGUCCAAAUGCUCACGUUAGCUGGAAAAUGCUUGAAAUGGGACUGGUUUUGUAAUAGCACUUGCCAAGCCCUAUUCUACACUGUGAGUCAUGGACGCCAUCGUUCAGGAAAGGUUCCAGUGCCACCUCAGGGAUUAAAACCCAGGCUGGACCUGAGCAGGAGCACCAGAAGAUGCGUAUCCCAAAGGAGUACGGGGCUCCCGAGAGUGGGAUCCAGAGCGGGGCUUGCCAGCAGUGGGACCGGGACUGCCGUAAAGCUAAGCCAACAGUGCCCUCGAGUGUUGGAAAUAAAAAUCACAUCUCGGGUGUGUAUGGUCCCACCUCUAGAUGCUCACUGCUCCAGAUAUCCA